rnacentral:rRNA from 1 species
AUGAGCAGAUGGCAUCGGCGGCAACGACAACACGCACGAUGCGCGAAGUCCGGUAAGAUGGGUGCGGCCUGCCCGCAGGCAUUUCACGAUGGUGUGCCCGACGGCUCGGAACACGCGCGCCCGUCGCAAAGGAGGUAUGCCUCGGAGCACGCCGACGGCAAUGUGCACCGCGAGGUCCCAGAGCAGCCUAGCCAGUACAGAGCCCCUCUGUAA